UACGUAGGGUGCGAGCGUUAAUCGGAAUUACUGGGCGUAAAGCGUGCGCAGGCGGUUUUGUGAGCCAGAUGUGAAAUCCCCGGGCUUAACCUGGGAAUGGCAUUUGGGACUGCAAGGCUGGAGUGUGGCAGAGGAGACUGGAAUUCCCGGUGUAGCAGUGAAAUGCGUAGAUAUCGGGAGGAAUACCGAUGGCGAAGGCAGGUCUCUGGGCUGACACUGACGCUCAUACACGAAAGCGUGGGGAGCAAACGGG
rnacentral:rRNA from 1 species